AAUAAGUGUAGCCAUGAGUUUCCGCGCCCAACUUUGAUCGUCUGUCUUAUUUAAAUUUUUUUAUAAUUAGCAUUUUUAUUGUUAUGAGAUGAUAAAAUAUGAAUAGUACUUUACUCGUAACUUAUGUUUUUAAUUUUUUUAAAAAAAAAAUUAAAUAAGACAAACGAUUAAAGUUGGACACGGAAAACCAUGGCUAUACUUAUU
rnacentral:pre_miRNA from 1 species